GGAGGGUGCGAGCGUUGUUCGGAAUUACUGGGCGUAAAGCGCGUGUAGGCGGCCUUGCAAGUCAGGCGUGAAAGCCCUCGGCUUAACCGGGGAAGUGCGUCUGAAACUGCUUGGCUUGAGUACGGGAGAGGGAGGCGGAAUUCCCAGUGUAGAGGUGAAAUUCGUAGAUAUUGGGAGGAACACCGGUGGCGAAGGCGACUUCCUGGACCAAAACUGACGCUGAGGCGCGAAGGUGUGGGGAGCAAACAGGAUUAGAUACCCUGGUAGUCCACACAGUAAACGGUGAUCACUAGGUGUUGCGGGUGUUGACCCCUGCAGUGCCGCAGUUAACGCAUUAAGUGAUCCGCCUGGGGAGUACGGUCGCAAGAUUA
rnacentral:rRNA from 1 species